GGGUUGUGAGGUUAAGCGACUAAGCGUACACGGUGGAUGCCCUGGCAGUCAGAGGCGAUGAAGGGCGUGCUAAUCUGCGAUAAGCGCCGGUAAGGUGAUAUGAACCGUUAUAACCGGCGAUACCCGAAUGGGGAAACCCAGUGUGAUUCGUCACACUAUCAUUAACUGAAUCCAUAGGUUAAUGAGGCGAACCGGGGGAACUGAAACAUCUAAGUACCCCGAGGAAAAGAAAUCAACCGAGAUUCCCCCAGUAGCGGCGAGCGAACGGGGAGGAGCCCAGAGCCUGAAUCAGCAUGUGUGUUAGUGGAAGCGUCUGGAAAGGCGCGCGAUACAGGGUGACAGCCCCGUACACAAAAGCGCAUGUGCUGUGAGCUCGAUGAGUAGGGCGGGACACGUGGUAUCCUGUCUGAAUAUGGGGGGACCAUCCUCCAAGGCUAAAUACUCCUGACUGACCGAUAGUGAACCAGUACCGUGAGGGAAAGGCGAAAAGAACCCCGGCGAGGGGAGUGAAAAAGAACCUGAAACCGUGUACGUACAAGCAGUGGGAGCACCCUUUGGGUGUGACUGCGUACCUUUUGUAUAAUGGGUCAGCGACUUAUAUUCUGUAGCAAGGUUAACCGAAUAGGGGAGCCGGAGGGAAACCGAGUCUUAAUUGGGCGUUAAGUUGCAGGGUAUAGACCCGAAACCCGGUGAUCUAGCCAUGGGCAGGUUGAAGGUUGGGUAACACUAACUGGAGGACCGAACCGACUAAUGUUGAAAAAUUAGCGGAUGACCUGUGGCUGGGGGUGAAAGGCCAAUCAAACCGGGAGAUAGCUGGUUCUCCCCGAAAGCUAUUUAGGUAGCGCCUCGUGAAUUCAUCUCCGGGGGUAGAGCACUGUUUCGGCUAGGGGGCCAUCCCGGCUUACCAACCCGAUGCAAACUGCGAAUACCGGAGAAUGUUAUCACGGGAGACACACGGCGGGUGCUAACGUCCGUCGUGAAGAGGGAAACAACCCAGACCGCCAGCUAAGGUCCCAAAGUCAUGGUUAAGUGGGAAACGAUGUGGGAAGGCCCAGACAGCCAGGAUGUUGGCUUAGAAGCAGCCAUCAUUUAAAGAAAGCGUAAUAGCUCACUGGUCGAGUCGGCCUGCGCGGAAGAUGUAACGGGGCUAAACCAUGCACCGAAGCUGCGGCAGCGACACUGUGUGUUGUUGGGUAGGGGAGCGUUCUGUAAGCCUGUGAAGGUGUGUCGUGAGGC
rnacentral:rRNA from 1 species